rnacentral:rRNA from 1 species
CACUANNUUUACUAGUGAGUGGCGAACGGGUGAGUAACACGUAGGUAACCUGCCCUUAAGACGAGGAUAACCGUUGGAAACGAUGGCUAAGACUGGAUAGGAACAUUGAAGGCAUCUUUGAUGUUUUAAAAGACCUAGCAAUAGGUAUGCUUAAGGAGGGGCCUGCGGCGCAUUAGUUAGUUGGUGAGGUGAAGGCUUACCAAGACGAUGAUGCGUAGCCGGACUGAGAGGUUGAACGGCCACAUUGGGACUGAGAGACGGCCCAAACUCCUACGGGAGGCAGCAGUAGGGAAUUUUCGGCAAUGGGGGAAACCCUGACCGAGCAACGCCGCGUGAAUGACGAAGUACUUCGGUAUGUAAAGUUCUUUUAUUGGGGAAGAAUGGCUGGUGGAAAAACCAGCGUGACGGUACCUAAUGAAUAAGCCCCGGCUAACUAUGUGCCAGCAGCCGCGGUAAUACAUAGGGGGCAAGCGUUAUCCGGAAUUAUUGGGCGUAAAGGGUGCGUAGGUGGUUGAUUAAGUCUUUGGUGUAAGUGCAGUGCUUAACGCUGUGAUGCUAAAGAAACUGGUUAACUUGAGUGUGGUAGAGGCAAGUGGAAUUCCAUGUGUAGCGGUAAAAUGCGUAAAUAUAUGGANGAACACCAGUGGCGAAGGCGGCUUGCUGGGCCC